rnacentral:tRNA from 1 species
GCCUGGGUGGCUCAGUCGGUUGAGCGUCCGACUUCGGCUCAGGUCAUGAUCUCACGGUCUGUGGGUUCGAGCCCUACGUCGGGCU